AAGAAGAAGGACAAGAAGAAGAAAAAGAAGAAGAAGAAAUCAUCUUCAUCCUCAUCUGACAGUUCAUCAUCUGACAGUGAGGAUGAAAAGAAGAAGAAAAAGAAGAAGAAGAAAAAGAAGAAGAAGAAGAAGAAGAAGAAGAAGACGGACUCGAGCUCCUCUUCC